rnacentral:rRNA from 1 species
CCUACGGGGGGCAGCAGUGGGGAAUAUUGGGCAAUGGGCGCAAGUCUGACCCAGCAACGCCGCGUGAAGGAAGAAGGUCUUCGGGUUGUAAACUUCUUUUCUCAGGGAUGAAGCAAGUGACGGUACCUGAGGAACAAGCCACGGCUAACUACGUGCCAGCAGCCGCGGUAAUACGUAGGUGGCAAGCGUUAUCCGGAUUUACUGGGUGUAAAGGGCGUGUAGGCGGGACAGUAAGUCAGAUGUGAAAACCAUGGGCUCAACCUAUGGCCUGCAGUUGAAACUAUUAGACUUGAGUCCUGGAGAGGCAAGCGGAAUUCCUAGUGUAGCGGUGAAAUGCGUAGAUAUUAGGAGGAACACCAGUGGCGAAGGCGGUCUGCUGGACAGCAACUGACGCUGAGGCGCGAAAGCGUGGGGAGCAAACAGGAUUAGAUACCCGAGUAGUC